GUUAUUAAUUAGACUGGGUUUGAGUUUGGUUUUGCUGUUGCUUUGCUUUGUUUUGCAGUGCUGGGGCGUCAAAUGUAGGGCCCGCUGAAUGCUAGGCAAGUGUUCUACCACUGAGCCACGUCCCUGGCAUUGUGCUUUUUGUGUUACAGCAUUAACUGACCUGACCCGAGGCCCAGGGCUGGGAUUUCCCGGGUGUUGUCCACCCACCUUAAGCCAUAUGAGGUCCACAUGCCCAGCGUACAGAGGGCAACCUGCCUUGAACAGCAAGAAAGAUGGGAGAGGAUAG
rnacentral:lncRNA from 1 species